GGCCGGUUGGCGGAGCGGUUAACGCACCCGUGUGAAAAUCGGAGGUCGUCUGUGGUGGACGCGAGGGUUCGAAUCCCUCACCGGUCU
rnacentral:tRNA from 2 species